UCUGGCAUUUAUAAUACAAUGUAUCAUCCACAUGAAGGGGCGUAACUCCUAAUAUCAUUCUAACACACUAAACGAAUUUUAACCCGAUCUGAAAGUUUUGAACGUUACUUUUUAUGAUUGGUCUUAAUUUGUCCAAACCAGUCUUAACAGACUUGAUUUAACGCUAGAGCCUUCCAUCUUGAUUAACUUGACAUGACUGAACAGACUUGACACGACAUAUCUGAACAGUGUCUUAAAAUCUGAAAAG
rnacentral:lncRNA from 1 species